AUAUUAAUGACCCUAGAGGGACCCUUUGUCCUCGGUGCACAGGCUGUAAUCAGCGGGGCUCCGGGGGCUCUGGCCUAAUUUGGAGGGACAGGUUUUAUCAUCACCCUUGAUUCGGGUGACCCAAUCUGACAGGCCCACGACCCCCUGUAUGCGGGGUCCACGUCAGAGAUGGGCUUCCUCCCAGCGGCCCACCCCAGCGGGCUGGGGAGAGGGAAGGGGGAGGUGGUGGCCAUGGGGGAAGUUCGGGGUGAAGAAGGGGUCACAGCCAGACCCCCACUUGGAUGGGCCUGUGAUCGGGUUCUCGGGAGGAGCAGGAUAUUGAUUAGAUCAGUGAAUGGUGUGGAGGCAGCUCUCCCCAGGCACGUGCUCCCGACCACCCACCAGCAAGCGUCUGUUGCCUGCCGGUGCCAGGGCUGGGUGGGGACUCUGGGACAGGCCGGCUGCCUAGGAGGGGCCAGGCAGGAGCCAAGGGGCUGGCUCCAGGGACUGCCAGGAGGGCCCCAGGGAAGGGGAGCCGGGAAGCGUUUUGGCUGCCUCCGGCGUGAAGUCGUGGAAACGUGUUUGCAGAUACAUGACAAAGGGCCACCUCAUUUAAUGCUUCCCUCAACCUUCCCAGGCCCCGAUCCCCAUGUUCUGGGUCAGGAGGCCCAUUCGAGGUCAAGGGGUGGGCGAAGGCUGACGAGACAAACCCAGGGACUAGCUCCUGAGUCCCAAAACCUGUCCUCACCCACCCAGGGGUCCCCUGCACGCUCUCCAGGGUGUGCGGUGCGUGGCUGCUGGGUUUGGGUGCAUUAGAGCCUGAGGCAAGGGCUUGAGUCUGAAUUCUCGCUACGGACCAAAUGUGUGCGUCCUCCCUAAAUACAUAUGUUGAAGCCUUAACUCCCAAUGUGAUGGCAUUAGGAGAGGGGACCUGUGGAAUGUAGUUGAGUCCUGAGGGUGCGGCCCCGUGAUGAAAUUAGUGGCCUGAUAAGAAGAGGCCCAGAGAACCGGCUCUGUCUCUGCUCUCUGUCGCACGAGGACCCCACAAGAAGACGGCCACCUGCAAACAGCCAUUGAAUCUGCCAGUGACUUGGUCGUGGAGUUCCAGCCUCCAGAACUGUGA
rnacentral:lncRNA from 1 species